rnacentral:rRNA from 1 species
CCUACGGGGGGCAGCAGUCGAGAAUCAUUCACAAUGGGGGAAACCCUGAUGGUGCGACGCCGCGUGGGGGAAUGAAGGUCUUCGGAUUGUAAACCCCUGUCAUGUGGGAGCAAAUUAAAAAGAUAGUACCACAAGAGGAAGAGACGGCUAACUCUGUGCCAGCAGCCGCGGUAAUACAGAGGUCUCAAGCGUUGUUCGGAAUCACUGGGCGUAAAGCGUGCGUAGGCUGUUUCGUAAGUCGUGAGUGAAAGGGGCGGGCUCAACCCGCGGACGGCACAUGAUACUGCGAGACUAGAGUAAUGGAGGGGGAACCGGAAUUCUCGGUGUAGCAGUGAAAUGCGUAGAUAUCGAGAGGAACACUCGUGGCGAAGGCGGGUUCCUGGACAUUAACUGACGCUGAGGCACGAAGGCCAGGGGAGCGAAAGGGAUUAGAUACCCGGGUAGUC